rnacentral:lncRNA from 12 species
CAGGCUUCCCAUCCCCGGAACGGCCGCGUGGAAGCCCAACUCUGUGCCUCGUGGGAGCCUCGAUGUGCCUUCCCUGGAGCAUCCUCCUGCCCCCUGAGGGGCCUUCCCAGAGCCCCCAGGCAUGGCCCCACCCUCCUGCCCCACACGGAUUUCCUCGGGGAGCACCUCAUGCACCCGGCACCUGCACAGGGACCUCUUCCUCAGGACAGUGGCUCCACAGCCCACCCAGGACCAUCUGGGCCCUCAGAAGCUGAUCGGAAGCACUGGGGGGGGGGGGGGUCAGAUGAAGGAAUCAACAAAUGAACCAGAUGCUUUCUGGUUGUCCAAAGAGCUACCUGUGGGGUGGAGCGAUGUCGCACCACCUUGCCUUCUGGACCUGGCUGGAGAGGACAGGGCAUAG